GGAGGGGGCUAGCGUUGUUCGGAAUUACUGGGCGUAAAGCGCGCGUAGGCGGGCUGGUUAGUUGGGGGUGAAAUCCCGAGGCUCAACCUCGGAACUGCCCUCAAUACUGCCAGUCUUGAGUUCGAGAGAGGUGAGUGGAAUUCCUAGUGUAGAGGUGAAAUUCGUAGAUAUUAGGAAGAACACCAGUGGCGAAGGCGGCUCACUGGCUCGAUACUGACGCUGAGGCGCGAAAGCGUGGGGAGCAAACAGGAUUAGAUACCCUGGUAGUCCACGCCGUAAACGAUGGGUGCUAGUUGUCAGGCAGCUUGCUGUUUGGUGACGCAGCUAACGCGUUAAGCACCCCCGCCUGGGACUACGGCCGCAAGCUA
rnacentral:rRNA from 1 species